rnacentral:tRNA from 1 species
GGAAGAGAUCGUUCCCCGGUGGGGCGGCCGGACUUCAAAACCGGUAGGGCCCGUUAAACGGGCCCGGGUAGGUUCGACUCCUGCUCUCUUCC